UACGGAGGGUGCAAGCGUUGUCCGGAAUUACUGGGCGUAAAGGGCGCGUAGGCGGCCAUAUAAGUCGGAUGUGAAAGCUCUGGGCUCAACCCAGGAAUUGCAUCUGAUACUGUAAGGCUUGAGUUCGGUAGAGGAGGGCGGAAUUCCAGGUGUAGCGGUGAAAUGCGUAGAUAUCUGGAGGAACACCCGUGGCGAAGGCGGCUCUCUGGGACGGUACUGACGCUGAGAUGCGAAAGCGUGGGGAGCGAACAGG
rnacentral:rRNA from 1 species